UUCAAAUGAGAGCUUCACUCUUCAUCAUGUCCUUUCUGGAAGAUGGAAAAAAGGAAGAAAAGAAAAAUGUAAACAUGCAAGACAAGGGCCGUUUGCAGUUGAAAGGAGGAACUCUGUCAUUUUUGAUAUACAGAUGCCAAACUGACAGAAGUGCUGCAUCUUCCGUCCACAGAAUAAGAUAACCUGGAGAAAGUUGUCUAUGGAGACCUACUUUGGUCAAUACCAUCCAGCAAAGGUGCAUCAUGCCUUUUAUGGUAUGCAUCAACCCACCCACCAACAGAGCGCUCAUAGACACUCUUAAGCUCUUUAUUUUAUGAGGUAGGUGUUCCUUCUUUCCAUUUAAUAAGAUGCAUUUGGAUGAAUACAGGUAAUGGGACACUUUUAAAAACAUUAACUAAUUAACCUUAUUACUAUGUUAACUAAUGAUCAUAUACCAUUGUUAUGUAUUCUGCUAUUUCUAACACCUUCGAUAUACCGUAAUUAAGGGCUGAUUCACAUUUCUGUAGAGGACUCUGGAAAUGUAUAUUUUUCAGUAAU